GGGCUUGUUGGGGCCACUCGCCAACUUUCAAAGGAUAUGCCAAUACUCAUGGAGAAGAAUAGCGUGUUAUCUUGGGAGCUGGAGCAGUGCCGGACGCAGCCGACUGCUACUACUGCCGAACUGGAGAAGUCCAAGGAGGCACCGAUUGGAUCGGUGGCACAACUGGAAGAGAAGCUGAAGGCCGCGUGGGUAGACAAAGAACAUGCCGAAAGGCAAUUGGCCGCUGGUCAGCGUGUACUAACAGGGACCAGGGACGAGAAGAACAAGCUACAGGAUGCCAACACCCAGCUCGGUGAAGAG
rnacentral:rRNA from 1 species